rnacentral:rRNA from 1 species
CACGUAGGGGACGAGCGUUGUCCGGAUUCAUUGGGCGUAAAGCGCGCGUAGGCGGCUCGGAAAGUCGGUCGUGAAAUGCCGGGGCUCAACCCCGGGACUGCGUCCGAUACUUCCGGGCUGGAGGUAGGUAGGGGAGAUCGGAAUUCCUGGUGUAGCGGUGAAAUGCGCAGAUAUCAGGAGGAACACCGGUGGCGAAGGCGGAUCUCUGGGCCUUACCUGACGCUGAGGCGCGAAAGCUAGGGGAGCAAACAGG